CCCCCGGGUCCACGAUGUAGCCCCCCGGAUGGAGCCGCAGUAUUUUCCUUAUAUGAUCGGGCCCCACGGCUGGCGGUGCUGUGGGCCUGAGAGGAUUAUGAAAACGUGUCAGGCGACAUGGGGCCGGGGAACCGGGG